GAAAUGUAGCAAUAAUAGUUAUGAGAAGGAAAACCAGUGAAUAUACAACAUCCAUGUUCAUAAAAUUAGACCAUUUCUUACCAGAAAAGAAAGAUCGUUCAAACAUUUAGCUGUGGACGGAAAAGAUUAUUCGUCUCUAAACACAACAUAGGCGAAUAUAUUUACGCCUCCCAACCUCUCAAUUGUGUUGCACGUGCAACGCGAUUCACCCCCAACGUGAAGGCGCCCAUACGAAGAUUGCAACUAUGAGAUUGACACAUGCUCUUGAGAUUACCAAAGGCUUUUGUCAUGUAUUUCUUAAGCUCCCUGUUAACCUUCUCUUCAUCCCACAUAAAACCUUGAAUGUUCUGAACCCACUCAAAAUAACUAACAGUCACACCUCCAGCAUUGGCAUAUAUGUCGGGAAGAAUUAAAACACCUUUCUUCGACAGAAUCUCAUCAGCAUCUGGAUCAGUCGGAUGAUUUGCUGCUUCUACGAUGAACUUGGCAUUUACAUGAUCAGCAUUUUCUCUGUUCAAAACUCCUCCCAGAGCACAGGGUAUAAGAACAUCGCAAUCGUGCGUAAGCAAUUCAUCUGUGUUCAUUACAUCACCACCGCCGAAAUCAAUUAGGUUCCCUGUUGCUUCUUUAUGACUAAGCAAAGCUGGUAUAUCAAGACCAUUCUGAUUCUUGAUUGCUCCAGUUAUAUCACUAACUGCAACUACUUUGCCACCUAUCUCGUGAAUAAGCUUUGCUACCCAUGAUCCUACGUUCCCGAACCCCUGAAUAGCAAAAGUCAAAUCCUUAAUCUGCUUCCCCUGCUCAUUAAGCAAAGCUUCUGCAGCAUAAACGACACCACGUCCAGUUGCAGCUUCCCUACCCAACGAACCGCCAAGAUCAACUGGUUUCCCGGUCACAACUGCAGGAGAGUGACCAUGAAAUUUUGAAUACUCAUCCAAAAUCCAAGCCAUGGUCUGAGCAUUGGUUCCCAUAUCAGGCGCAGGGACAUCAGUAUUAAUUCCAAUUAGGUCAUGGAUUUUCUGCGUGAAAACACGUGUAAGGCGCUCCAGUUCGCUUAAACUUAACUCUUUUGGUAUGCAGCCAAUCCCACCCUUUGCUCCCCCGUAUGGAAUAUCUGCUACCGCAGUCUUCCAAGUCAUUAGUUGAGCAAGGGCGUUCACCUCAUCAAGAUCAACCUCGGGGUGGUAUCUGAUUCCUCCUUUCAUGGGUCCACGAGCAUUAUCAUGUUGUACUCUAAAUCCAACAUAGGAAACAA
rnacentral:misc_RNA from 1 species